rnacentral:misc_RNA from 1 species
GAUGAAGAACGUAGCGAAAUGCGAUAACUAAUGUGAAUUGCAGAAUUCAGUGAAUCAUCGAGUCUUUGAACGCACAUUGCGCCCCCUGGUAUUCCGGGGGGCAUGCCUGUCCGAGCGUCAUUGCUGCCCUCAAGCACGGCUUGUGUGUUGGGCUCCGUCCCCCCGGGGCCGGGCCCGAAAGGCAGCGGCGGCACCGAGUCCGGUCCUCGAGCGUAUGGGGCUUUGUCACCCGCUCUGUAGGCCCGGCCGGCGCCAGCCGACAACCCAUCAUCCUUUUCAGGUUGACCUCGGAUCAGGUAGGGAUACCCGCUGAACUUAAGCAUAUCAAUAAGCGGAGGA